UACAGAGGGGGCAAGCGUUGUUCGGAAUUACUGGGCGUAAAGGGCGCGUAGGCGGCCUUCUAAGUCGAACGUGAAAUCCCCGGGCUCAACCCGGGAACUGCGUCCGAGACUGAAAGGCUCGAAUCCGGGAGAGGGAUGCAGAAUUCCAGGUGUAGCGGUGAAAUGCGUAGAUAUCUGGAGGAACACCGGUGGCGAAGGCGGGUCUCUGGGCCGAUAUUGACGCUGAGGAGCGAAAGCGUGGGGAGCAAACAGG
rnacentral:rRNA from 1 species